rnacentral:rRNA from 1 species
AUUGAACGCUGGCGGCAGGCUUAACACAUGCAAGUCGAGCGGAGAGAGGUAGCUUGCUACUGAUCUUAGCGGCGGACGGGUGAGUAAUGCUUAGGAAUCUGCCUAUUAGUGGGGGACAACAUUUCGAAAGGAAUGCUAAUACCGCAUACGUCCUACGGGAGAAAGCAGGGGAUCUUCGGACCUUGCGCUAAUAGAUGAGCCUAAGUCGGAUUAGCUAGUUGGUGGGGUAAAGGCCUACCAAGGCGACGAUCUGUAGCGGGUCUGAGAGGAUGAUCCGCCACACUGGGACUGAGACACGGCCCAGACUCCUACGGGAGGCAGCAGUGGGGAAUAUUGGACAAUGGGCGGAAGCCUGAUCCAGCCACGCCGCGUGUGUGAAGAAGGCCUUAUGGUUGUAAAGCACUUUAAGCGAGGAGGAGGCUACUUAGUUAAUACCUAGAGAUAGUGGACGUUACUCGCAGAAUAAGCACCGGCUAACUCUGUGCCAGCCGCCGCAGUAAAAC